ACACUCCUACGGGAGGCAGCAGUGGGGAAUAUUGGACAAUGGGCGCAAGCCUGAUCCAGCCAUGCCGCGUGAGUGAUGAAGGCCCUAGGGUUGUAAAGCUCUUUCACCGGAGAAGAUAAUGACGGUAUCCGGAGAAGAAGCCCCGGCUAACUUCGUGCCAGCAGCCGCGGUAAUACGAAGGGGGCUAGCGUUGUUCGGACUUACUGGGCGUAAAGCGCACGUAGGCGGAUCGAUCAGUCAGGGGUGAAAUCCCAGGGCUCAACCCUGGAACUGCCUUUGAUACUGUCGAUCUGGAGUAUGGAAGAGGUGAGUGGAAUUCCGAGUGUAGAGGUGAAAUUCGUAGAUAUUCGGAGGAACACCAGUGGCGAAGGCGGCUCACUGGUCCAUUACUGACGCUGAGGUGCGAAAGCGUGGGGAGCAAACAGGAUUAGAAACCCCAGUAGUCCCAUGA
rnacentral:rRNA from 1 species